rnacentral:rRNA from 1 species
CAUUAUACCGUGAAACUGCGAAUGGCUCAUUAAAUCAGUUAUCGUUUAUUUGAUAGUACCUUACUACUUGGAUAACCGUGGUAAUUCUAGAGCUAAUACAUGCUGAAAACCCCAACUUCGGGAGGGGUGUAUUUAUUAGAUAAAAAACCAACGCCCUUCGGGGCUUCUUGGUGAUUCAUGAUAACUUUACGGAUCGCAUGGCCUUGCGCCGGCGACGGUUCAUUCAAAUUUCUGCCCUAUCAACUUUCGAUGGUAAGGUAUUGGCUUACCAUGGUUUCAACGGGUAACGGGGAAUUAGGGUUCGAUUCCGGAGAGGGAGCCUGAGAAACGGCUACCACAUCCAAGGAAGGCAGCAGGCGCGCAAAUUACCCAAUCCCGACACGGGGAGGUAGUGACAAUAAAUACUGAUACAGGGCUCUUUUGGGUCUUGUAAUUGGAAUGAGUACAAUUUAAACCUCUUAACGAGGAACAAUUGGAGGGCAAGUCUGGUGCCAGCAGCCGCGGUAAUUCCAGCUCCAAUAGCGUAUAUUAAAGUUGUUGCAGUUAAAAAGCUCGUAGUUGAAACUUGGGUCUGGCUGGCAGGUCCGCCUCACCGCGUGUACUUGUCCGGCCGGGCCUUCCUUCUGGAGAACCUCAUGCCCUUCACUGGGCGUGUUGGGGACCAGGACUUUUACUUUGAAAAAAUUAGAGUGUUCAAAGCAGGCCUUUGCUCGAAUACGUUAGCAUGGAAUAAUAGAAUAGGACGUGCGGUUCUAUUUUGUUGGUUUCUAGGACCGCCGUAAUGAUUAAUAGGGACAGUCGGGGGCAUCAGUAUUCAAUUGUCAGAGGUGAAAUUCUUGGAUUUAUUGAAGACUAACUACUGCGAAAGCAUUUGCCAAGGAUGUUUUCAUUAAUCAGUGAACGAAAGUUAGGGGAUCGAAGACGAUCAGAUACCGUCGUAGUCUUAACCGUAAACUAUGCCGACUAGGGAUCGGGCGAUGUUCUUUUUUUUGAC